rnacentral:rRNA from 1 species
CUACGGGUUGCAGCAGUUUCGAAUAAUUCACAAUGGGCGCAAGCCUGAUGAUGCGACGUUACGUGAAGGAAGAAAGCUUUAAGUUGCAAACUUCUGUCGUUAAGGAACAAAAAAUUAAGUAGUACUUUUUAUAUUGAGUUAACUUAAAAAGGAAGCAGUGGCUAAUUUCGUGCCAGCAGCCGCGGUAAUACGGGAACUGCAAGCGUUGCUCGGUUUUAUUGGGCGUAAAGAGUACGUAGGCUGUUAUAUAUGUUAAUUGUUAAAUUUUAAAGUUAAUCUUUAAAUUUGCUGUUAAAACUAUAUAACUAGAAUUUCAAAGAGGUAAGUGGAAUUUCAAGUGUAGCGGUGAAAUGCGUAGAUAUUUGAAGGAACACCAAUGGCGAAAGCAACUUACUGGGUGAUAAUUGACGCUAAAGUACGAAAGUAUAGGGAGCAAAAGGGAUUAGAUACCCCCGUAGUC